GUGGGGAAUUUUGGACAAUGGGGGAAACCCUGAUCCAGCAAUGCCGCGUGAGUGAAGAAGGCCUUCGGGUUGUAAAGCUCUUUUGUCAGGGAAGAAAUUGAUUGGGCUAAUAUCCCGAUUAGAUGACGGUACCUGAAGAAUAAGCACCGGCUAACUACGUGCCAGCAGCCGCGGUAAUACGUAGGGUGCGAGCGUUAAUCGGAAUUACUGGGCGUAAAGCGUGCGCAGGCGGUUGUGUAAGACAGAUGUGAAAUGCCCGGGCUCAACCUGGGAAUUGCAUUUGUGACUGCACGGCUAGAGUGUGUCAGAGGGGGGUAGAAUUCCACGUGUAGCAGUGAAAUGCGUAGAUAUGUGGAGGAAUACCGAUGGCGAAGGCAGCCCCCUGGGAUAACACUGACGCUCAUGCACGAAAGCGUGGGGAGCAAACAGGAUUAGAAACCCGAGUAGUCC
rnacentral:rRNA from 1 species